UACGAAGGGGGCUAGCGUUGCUCGGAAUUACUGGGCGUAAAGCGCACGUAGGCGGCUUUCUAAGUCGGGGGUGAAAUCCUGGGAGCUCAACUCCAGAACUGCCUUCGAUACUGGCGAUCUCGAGUCCGGAAGAGGUGAGUGGAACUCCUAGUGUAGAGGUGGAAUUGUAGAUAUUAGGAAGAACACCAGUGGCGAAGGCGGCUCACUGGUCCGGUACUGAC
rnacentral:rRNA from 1 species